rnacentral:rRNA from 1 species
CAAUAGCGUAUAUUAAAGUUGUUGCGGUAAAAAAGCUCGUAGUUGGAUUUCUACCGAAGAUAGCCGGUCGGGUCUUCGACCUUGUAUCUGGUUUUGUCUUUGGUAUCCUCAUAGGGAACGUUUCUGCGCUUUAUUGCGUGGUGCGGUAUCUAUGACUUUUACUUUGAGGAAAUUAGAGUGUUCACGGCAGGCAAACGCCUUGAAUAUAUUAGCAUGGAAUAAUAACAUAGGAUCUUCGUCCUAUUUUGUUGGUUUCUAGGGCUAAGAUAAUGAUUAAUAGGGAUAAUUGGGGGCAUCUGUAUCAACGCGUCAGAGGUGGGAUUCUUGGAUUGCGUUGCGACAAACUACUGCGAAAGCAUUUGCCAAGGAUGUUUUCAUUGA